UACAGAGAGUGCAAGCGUUAAUCGGAAUUACUGGGCGUAAAGCGCGCGUAGGUGGAUAUUUAAGUCGGAUGUGAAAUACCUGGGCUUAACCUGGGAAUUGCAUUCGAUACUGAAUGUCUAGAGUAUGGUAGAGGGAAGUGGAAUUUCCGGUGUAGCGGUGAAAUGCGUAGAUAUCGGAAAGAACACCAGUGGCGAAGGCGACUUCCUGGACCAAUACUGACACUUUAGCGCGAAAGCGUGGGGAGCAAACAGG
rnacentral:rRNA from 1 species